UACAGACCUCUCAGUGAAUCAGU
rnacentral:piRNA from 1 species